AACGAACGCUGGUGGCGUGUUUUAUACAUGCAAGUCGAGCGAGGACAGUAGCUUGCUACUGAGCCGAGCGGCGAACGGGUGAGUAACGCGUAAGCAAUCUGCCCCACAAUCGGGAACAACCGUGCCAACGCGCGGCUAAUGCCGGAUAUUGUGUCCUACUGCAUAGUAGGUUAACGAAAGAUUUAUCGUUGUGGGAUGAGCUUGCGUCCGAUUAGCUAGUUGGCGGGGUAAUAGCCCACCAAGGCGACGAUCGGUAGCCGGCCUGAGAGGGUGAUCGGCCACAUUGGGACUGAGAUACGGCCCAGACUCCUACGGGAGGCAGCAGUAGGGAAUAUUGCGCAAUGGGGGAAACCCUGACGCAGCAACGCCGCGUGAGUGAGGAAGGCCUUCGGGUCGUAAAGCUCUGUCAGAUGGGAAGAAAUGGAUGGGGGCUAAUAUCGCCCAUCCUUGACGGUACCAUCAGAGGAAGCACCGGCUAACUCCGUGCCAGCACG
rnacentral:rRNA from 1 species